rnacentral:sRNA from 1 species
UUGCCACCCUAGGAGACUGAAGUCUUGCAUUUGUCCACAGAAAAGAUAUACCACUGGCAUCAGCAGUGCAAGAUUCCCCCUCACUUGGACCACCAAUUGGCUUGACUUUCAAAGAUGCUGAUCACUUGCAGCUCCCACUGACAUCAAUGGAAUUUCUGGGUGCUCGGCACGCAAUCAAGUUAAAUG